UCUGCUUUACUCAAUCCACUGAUUCAAAUGGUAAUCUCAUCCAAAAACACCCUUGCAGACACACCCAGAAUAAUGUUUGACCAAAUACCUGGACACCCUGUGACCCAGUGAAGAUGACACAUCAAAUUAACUAUCACAUCAUAGGAUCUCAUGGAAAGAUGAUUUAGAGUCAGCUCUACUACUCACUAUUGAUUAAGAGAGGCUGUCAGGGAAGACAGCGCAGUUUGCAACUAGACUGAAAUUUAAGCAUUAUCUCAGGCUGGGCGUGGUAACUCAUGCCUGUAAUCCUAGCACUUUGGGAGGCUAAAGCCGGUAGAUCAUCUGAGGGUCAGGAGUUGGAGACCAGCCUGGCUAACUUGGUGAAACCCUGUCUCUACUAAAAAUACAAAAAUUAGCCAGGUGUGGUGGCAGGCGCCUGUAAUCCCAGCUACUUGGGAGGCCGAAGCAGGAGAAUCACUGGCACCUGGGAGGUGGAGAGUGCAGUGAGCCGAGAUUACGCCAUUGCACUCUAGCCUGAGUGACAGAGUGAGACUCUGUCUCAAAAUAACAAUAAUAAUUAUCUCAAGCACUAUCUUUAAAUAUCUUCCAACAGCAGUUAUCAAAUAACGUGUGUAUGUAUAUAUUCCACCACCCCCUUAAUUUGGUACAGCUUCUAGAAUAUCAUUAUAAAACCCAUGAGCCCUCUGCUGUAGUGAGAAUCCCUGGAUGUUGUUCAUGCCCUGUUUAUUCUUUCACAUUCCCCUCCCCAUUCUCCAUCUAAAUCCUACCAGUCCUCUAAGGCCAGCUUAUAUUUCACCUUCUUCAUAACACAUGUGCUGCUAGCCACUCCAGCUCAUGAUAAUCUCUGUUUCUUUAGGUUUCAUGGCUCUUACUACCUGUUAUAAGGCUUUCUUGCCACUUUAUUACAUACUAUCUAAUAUUUCUUGUACUGAGGCUGGAAGUCAGAACAAUUAAAAGUUGGUACAUUGGUGUCAUAUAUACCUAGGUUCAAAUCUGACUUUGCUAUUUAUUAGUUAUAUAGCCCUGGGUGGGUAUUUACCUUCUCUGAUUUUCAAGCUGUGCAUUAGUAGAAUGAGAAUGACAAUGCACAAGUCAGACUCAUAGAAGCAGAGAGUAAAAUGGUGGUUGCCAAGUGCCGAGGAGAGGGGAAGAUGGGGAGAUGUUGGUUGCAGGGUUAAAAAAAAGAAUGCCGUUGGGCGCGGUGGCUCACACCUGUAAUCCCAGCACUUUGGAAGGCCGAGGCAGGCAGAUCACAAGGUCAGGAAUUCAAGACCAGCCUGGUGGCCAACAUAGUGAAACCCUGUCUCUACUAAAAAUACAAAAAUUAGCCGGGCAUGAUGGCGCACACCUCUAGUCCCAGCUACACGGGAGGCUGAGGCAGGAGAAUCGCUUGAACCUGGGAGGCGCAGGUUGCAGUGAGCUGAGAUCGCGCCACUGCACUCCAGCUUGAGGGACAGAGCAAGACUUUGUGUCAAAAAAAAAAAAAAAAAAAAAAA
rnacentral:lncRNA from 1 species